AAACUUAAGGAAUUGACGGGGCCGCACAAGCGGUGGAGCAUGUGGUUAAUUCGAAGCAACGCGAAGAACCUUACCAGGUCUUGACAUCCCGAUGCUAUUUCUAGAGAUAGAAAGUUACUUCGGUACAUCGGUGACAGGUGGUGCAUGGUUGCCGUCAGCUCGUGUCGUGAGAUGUUGGGUUAAGUCCCGCAACGAGCGCAACCCUUGUCACUAGUUGCCAUCAUUUGGUUGGGCACUCUAGUGAGACUGCCGGUGACAAACCGGAGGAAGGUGGGGAUGACGUCAAGUCCUCAUGGCCCUUAUGGGUAGGGCUUCACACGUCAUACAAUGGUCGGUACAGAGGGUUGCCAAGCCGCGAGGUGGAGCCAAUCCCUUAAAGCCGAUCGUAGUCCGGAUCGUAGUCUGCAACUCGACUACGUGAAGUCGGAAUCGCUAGUAAUCGCAGAUCAGCAUGCUGCGGUGAAUACGUUCCCGGGUCUU
rnacentral:rRNA from 1 species